CACAAUCUUUCAUUUUCCUUUUCCUCAAUAAGCAUCAUCAAUUCACAUACAAACAAGCAAACAGUAGUUCAUGCCAAACAGACAACAUACAGUAUCAGUUUUUCAGUCAUUCAACCCAUAAUUAAUAAAACAGUAAUAUAUGCAUUCGAAAUUAUAAAAUGAACACAUCAAACCCCAUAAUGCAUUUAAAGCUGUAAAACAGUGUAAAACAUGCCAAACAACAGUAAAUCAUUAAUCACACUAGACUCGGGCUCCAUUAGCAACUUUAAGCAAUUUCACACAUGCGUUAAUUCAAGAAAUACCGUUUUAUCAUUUUGAACUUUAAUACCGUGAUAGGAAAUAGAGUGAGGGGUCCUUACCUGUUUUCGGGAUCCGAAUACGAUUCACAGUGCGCCUGCAGGCUGUCCCUAAUUUUCCCCUGAAUUUUUCCCGGGGAACUGAAACACGCUCACAGUACCUGCACGGGUUCCAAAAAAUCCAAAUUAGGCCCAGGGCCUCUUUCGGCCCAAAUCGCAACUCCGGCACGGCGGCUCCGCCGUGCUCCGGCGACGGCGCCGCCGCUGGCGGCGGCGAGUCGCCUCGGGUUGACUGUUUUCGGCCGUUUUUGGCCGAAUUCGGCCACACUCGCAUUGGUCCUUGUCAGAAAACAACCCUAGGGCCCUCGGGGGGCCAAAAAAUCACGGAAAAACGGAGCUUACCGGCGGCGGCGCUCUCGGGUACGGCGACUCUCC
rnacentral:lncRNA from 1 species